rnacentral:piRNA from 1 species
UGGGAGAGUAGAUCUAUGUCCAAGGAAGA